CCAGGAUCCACCCCUUCCCAGACUGAAUUUAAGGGUCAACAGUGGAGGAGAAGGUAUCUCACUGGGAAUCUUUGCCUACCUGAGGCCUUCUAAAGGUUGUCAGACUGGAUGAUCAAGAUGGGCCCUUCGAGUCCUGAAGCCUAUGGAGCUCUGAUCUAAAAUGACAUGAUCACACACCACUUUCCCCUCAGCGAUGCUGACUUCAGUGCACCAGGAGUCACCAAACAAGGAUUUUGGAAGAUGCAUAUGAUUUACCAGUCUACUAUGCUAACAUCAUUUUGACAGAAGUGAAAUGAAUAUUGAUGAAAGAAAGGAAAAUAAAGAAAUCAAGAAGUACAAAUGAAACACAUCUGUAUGAUUGCUGUUUUCCCAGAGAAGAGCUGAAAUGCACUCCUUUUAAACACUGAAAGGUCACUAUCACGUUUCCCUGGAGCCUUCUGUUCUCCAAACUGGACAGUCCCAGCUCUCUCAGCCUGUCCUCUUAAGGGAGUUGUUCCACCCCUUGGAUCUUUUUUAUGGCCCUCCUCUGGAUGCUUUCUGACAGAUCCACACCUCUCCUGUACUGAGGACUUCACAUCUGUCAUUGCUGCAGAGACCAGCUUUAGAGCAGGGUGGGCUUGCAUUUAUAGCCCAGUAGGCCAACUGUAUCCUAGGCUACAUCAAGAGAGGGGUGGCCAGCAAGGCAUGGGAGGUGAUUGUUGUCCUCUACUCUGCCCUCAUGAGGCCCCAUCUGGAGUACAGAAUCCAGAUCUGGGGCCCCCAGCACAAGUGGAGCAAUUGGAGGGGGUCCGGAGGAAGUCCAUGAAGAUGAUUAGAAGGCUGGAGCAUCUCUCCAAUGAAGAAGGAGGUGUUCAAGGCCAGGUUGGAUGGAUCCUGAGCAAUCUAAUCCAGUGCUUGAUUUAGAGGUUGGCAACAUUGCCCCAUGGCAAGAAGAUUGGAACUAGACGAUCCUUAAGGUCCCUUCUAACUCAAGCCAUUCUGUGAUUCUGUGUUUCAAUGAUUCUAUGAUAGAUGUAUGUGGAAACAGGGAAGUCUUGAGUUUUAAGGGUACAAAUGAUUUAGAUUUCCAUGGAAGGAAUUUUGCCUUCCAGAGUUCAUUCUGGGAUUUAAUUCUGUUUUAAAAUCAUUUGACCAAUGCUAGCGUGCUUCCAUAAUACUCACUGAUGGGUAUUGUUUCACUUAUAUGCAUUUUACUUCAGGGAACAUUGUGAAAAUAUUUCACUUCUUAUGUCUGCAAAAAUAUGGAUUAGAAUUGCUCAAUCCAAAAAAAAGAACAAGCAAAUAAUGUCAAGUUCACAAAAUUAAAGGCAAUUAUAGACUAUUUUAUAUACAUUUAAAAAAUAAAGCAAUAAAUGGCCAGUUUUGAACAUUCUCAGUGAUCACU
ensembl:lncRNA